rnacentral:lncRNA from 1 species
UAGGCCCUAUAGCUACAUGAUAUCUCCACUGGGAGCCCUGUCCUUUCCAUGCCCUGGGAAAACCCGAUCUAAAGCAGAUUUAAAUGACUCAGCAGUAGGACUCAGGUCUCUGUCUCUGCCUGCUUACUUGGGGAGUGCUCCAGCCUUAGGGGCUCUCUUGCACUCCAACAUAGGAAAGAAAUUAUCGAUGGCUCCAUUCCCCAGCAUUUGAGACUUUUCUUCCCACAGACACAUUCCUGAGGACACCAGUCAUGGGUAAAGAACUCCACUGGGGUCAGCGUUGGAUCCCACUAGGCAGUUUAGGACUUGUAAGUAGAGUAGUGUGGACUUGGUGUUCCCAGAGCCUCUCACUCAUGAUUCAUGGCUCUCCACCCCAAGCAUCGGAACUUGCCCAACUUCACCACAGAAGGAAACAGACUGUAAGCUUGGAGGGCCAGGGAGGAAACCGGAGGCAUGUGUGGGAGGAUUAGAAACAUGAAAAGAUAUUUACAGUAAGGUUCGCUUGUCAUCCUCUUGAACUGGGGGUGCAUAGAGUACAAUAAGACCCCAUGUGAGUAUGUUAGAUGAUAAGGCUCAGGUUGGAUGGGUGUGUAGAGUAAAGGCUUUGCAUCACCUUUGCCAGGGUGAGGGAAGGCUAUGGAUAGCACAGGGGACCUUGAUGAUCGGGUGAGGGAGCCCAUGUGGACAUAGUGGUCACCAGCUACUUCCUAGUUCUCUACAUGGGAGAAAGAGCCCUUCUCUGUAAUCAUGGAAGCUCAAGUUCUUGGUGGUUCAGAGGUUAGAGACCUCUGAUUACUAGGACAGAGCAGAAUAGCAGGGCUGGUCCUGGUAGAUCAGACAUCUCAUGACAUCCUUUAAAAGGGACUAGAAUAUUCAGAACUCCGGUGUAACUAAAUGAUCCUCAAGCUUUACCAGCAGGUGAGCAAGGUCCCAUUGUAUUUGGUACUCACAUCCCCACCAAUUCUGUAAAAGUUUGCCAACUUUCCCCUCCAUCCCCUGCACCCUUUCACCAAAAGAUAUGCCUAAGAGUUCCCAAGAGACGUCUAACAUAGGCCUGCAUGUCAGCCCAGUCUUCUGGGCUGAGCUGCUGCACUGUUGCUGGCCUUGAUGGCUGAACCUGAUCUCUGUUGUGGCACCCACCACUCUUUCUCAAGCCUUGACACCUUGGCAGGCUUUGGCAAAAAGAGGAGAGCUGUUCUUCCUCGGCAUUAUGUUCACUUAGCAGGGUCCCACAGCAGGAUUGCUUGGACCCCAGAGUAUUGUAGGGCUUAAUAAGACCAGCCCUUUCAUCUCACACGCUCUAUCCUUUCUCUCACUGGUGCACCCACGUCAGGUGUCUUGAGUGGGGAGUGCUCGAAUAUCUGCCACCAGCUUGAGUCAGAACCUCGACUUCCCUCAGCUUUUCAGGGUCUGUUACUGAGUCUGGUCCACACUCCAGGGUCUUUUCCUCACGGUCUGGGUCUGGUCUUUUUCAGGUGCCUACCUUUCCUCCCUGCAAACUGCCUUGAGUUGCCUCCCCUUCUCCCUUCCUUCCUGGUCUGUCAGAGACAUCUUGUCUGGGUGCAUAUUUGAACCCCAUCAGUAGACAGAAAACAUGUAUUUCCUUGAAGGCCCCUCAGACCCCAGGUACAAACAUUGAAGUAAAUAACAGCAGGGAUGGGGGUUCUGCCUCGCUUCACCUGCCAGCCACGUGCAGACCUUGUUUCAGUCCAACUGAGACUUUAGCAAGUGCUUCAUUCUGGUUUGUGAAUGGCUUCCCAGUGUCUGUCACUGUGUUCACAGGGCCACCGGGGUUGGCUGAGUCAGAAUACCAGCCAUGUGGCAUGUCGCAUGGGGCAAGAGCUGUGCUGCCCAUGGGAGUCCAGAGAAGGAGCACACUAAGGACCAACACCAGCAUUUGCUCUAGGGGAAGCCUGCAGCUAUGUCAUGAGGACCCUCAACAGCCCUGUGCAGAGGACUAUGUGGCAUGAAAGAUACCUUCUGCCAACAACCAGCCCCAACUUGCCAAGCAUGUGAACAAGCUAAACUGAAAGCAGAUCUUCAGCCCCAAUCAAGCCUUCAGAUGACAGUAACCUCAGCCAAUAUACUGACUAUAACCUCAUAAAAGACCCUGAACCAGAACCCUCUAAGCCACUCUCAAACUCUACCCCACAUAAACUGUGAAAUAAUAUAUGUUUAUUGUUAUUUUGGGCCACUAAGUUUAGGGGUAAUUUGUUAUGCAGCAAUUAUAUAACCAAUAUUCCAACUAAAGCUGAAAUGCCUCCUGCAUUUCCUCCCUCAGUGGCCUACACUACAAUCCAAGUUCAGGAAAAAACGAGAACCUUAUUUAAGGUAGUGGCAAGAAAUGAAUGGAUUAACUGGACAUUUAAAAAGUAUUUGAUAGAACUUGGUGAUAGGAGGUGGGGCAGUUAGGGACUAGCAGGAAUUUAGGAUGAGAGGCUCAUUCAGUUGGGCUUAUGUUUUACUGAGGUCAAUUCCAAAAGGAAGGAAAGAAAAAUCCAGCCAAAUAACCUUUAAUGGACUAAGUCUUCUUUCAUAAGUCAGUUUGCACAACUUCUUCACAGGAAUCAGAUUUUAAAUAUCAUAACUGAAGAGAAAAAAAACAGCAAGAGGAGUUUACCUUUAUGGUGGAAUGACACUAAUCUUUCAUGCUUUCAAAUUUCUUGAAAUUUCCUUCGUAUGCAUUAUCUUAUUUGCUGUUCACAGUAAAACUGUGUAUUGGCUAAGCCAGUUUUUAUGAAAAUAUAAGCAGUGAGAAAAAGUAAGAUAGUAUGUCAGUUAGUAGAUUUUUUUAUGGACAUUGUGACAGAGGACACAACUUAAACUGGCUUUUUUUUUUUUUUUUUUUUUUUUGAGACAGAGUUUUGCUCUUGUUGCCCAGGCUGGAGUGCAAUGGCACGAUCUCGGCUCACUGCAACCUCCGCCCCCUGGGUUCAAGUGAUUCUCCUGCCUCAGCCUCCCGAGUAGCUGGAAACACAGGUGCCUGCCACCGCGUCCGGCUAAUUUUUUGUAUUUUUAGUAGAGAUGGAGUUUCACCAUGUUGGCCAGGCUAGUCUCAAACUCCUGACCUCAGGUGAUCCACCUGCCUCAGCCUCCCAAACUGCUGGGAUUACAGGUGUGAGCCACCGCACCUGGCAAAAGGGUUUUGUUUCUAAAGGUACAAGAACAGGUACAGCUUCGGGUCAGUGUGAUUCAGCCCUCAACAAAGCCACCAGGAUCCAUUUCUUGGCUCUGCUUCAUUGCUUCUCAUAGGCUGGCUCAUUCUCAGACUGUACGUGAUAUGGUUCAGUGGCUUUAGGCUCCAAGCAUGACAACACCCAACACUCAGAUUGAUGGAGCUAGAGCAAGUCUCUUCAGGCAGCGUCUAGGAAAGUUCUGAAAUUCACUCUGAUUGGCUGCCCAUCUCUGAAUCAACCACGUAACCCAAGGAAAUAGGAACUGCUGAUGGGUCAGGGUCGGUUCACAUGCUUCAUACCUGGAGCUGAGAAGACAUCAACUCCAUCCUGGAGCUCAUGGGCUGUGACUAGAGCAGACGGAGUUCUCAGAGGAAAGUCAGAGUACAGUUAUCAAAGCAAGCAGUUACAGAUGCUAGAUGACCAAAAUCCAAUAACUGCCCAGUAAAAAUAUUAUACUAAAAUCUAGGAACAUGUGGCUGAUGGACAGUCAUUACCAGGAAAAAAAAGUUGUUAGGUCUAAAUGUAAAAAUUGAGGCAAAGAAAGUGCCCGAGCUAGAAUUAGAACCCUGACUACCUGAAUAUUAGAUCGGUUAGUGCCACUUCUACCCUACCGCUGCUGAGGGGGGAGGUGAACAGUCUCUCAGGUUGCAGACAGUGGAUGGUUUCCCUCCCUCUAUCUUCUCAUUUCAUGGUGGAGCUGAAUCAUCCUAUGUUCUACAUGCUGACAGUGGAAGGUUAUGACCAUACCCAUAUCCUGUUGUCUCUGAGUCUCCUGUGGUGCAGAGAUCCCUGAGACUUGUAGAACAGAACCUGAGUGGAAAGUGGGAGGGGGAUUGGGGGUGGUUCCCACGAAUCAAGCAGCAACCUGGAGACAAGGAACACCUGCAACCUCAGCAGUGGAUCAGAACGGCUGACUGAGCAAUGGACAUACUGUGCAUCUUUCAUUAGUGCUGAGACCAACUUCUAGCUUGGAGUCCCAUGAAAGGGAAACUUAGCCCUAACACCACAACAAGGAGCACAGUGUCAAGUGGGGACAUUGCAGCAGAGUUGCCGCAAAGACUCUGAAGUGCUAUGGGAAGGGAUAUUUCCUAGGAGGGGUUAAAGGGAUUCUCCUUAAGAAGGGGGCUGGGGGAAUCUGAGUAAGAGGUGGGGGAAAGCAGCCAAAGCAUGAUACUUAGUCAUAGCAUCACAAGAAUUUGACUCAGAGUUCCUACAAGGUUGUCCUAAAAUGCCCUGGUUCAGGUGGGUCAGCUUUGAAAGCACCCAAAUUACCCCGUUUUCUGUACUAUGUUUAAAGGCAAUUUGAAAGAAAGACCCCUAAUUUGGAAACAUGUGCUAAGGCUAAAUCACUUUUUCAACUGAAAAUUCUUUUUUAUGUAUUGUUACACUCCAUUUUCUGUCUUGUGUUUUUUGUUGUUG